GAAGGAUCAUAAAAGAGUAAGGGUGCUCAGCGCCCGACCUCCAACCCUUUGUUGUUAAAACUACCUUGUUGCUUUGGCGGGACCGCUCGGUCUCGAGCCGCUGGGGAUUCGUCCCAGGCGAGCGCCCGCCAGAGUUAAACCAAACUCUUGUUAUUAAACCGGUCGUCUGAGUUAAAAUUUUGAAUAAAUCAAAACUUUCAACAACGGAUCUCUUGGUUCUCGCAUCGAUGAAGAACGCAGCGAAAUGCGAUAAGUAAUGUGAAUUGCAGAAUUCAGUGAAUCAUCGAAUCUUUGAACGCACAUUGCGCCCCUUGGUAUUCCGAGGGGCAUGCCUGUUCGAGCGUCAUUACACCACUCAAGCUAUGCUUGGUAUUGGGUGCCGUCCUUAGUUGGGCGCGCCUUAAAGACCUCGGCGAGGCCUCACCGGCUUUAGGCGUAGUAGAAUUUAUUCGAACGUCUGUCAGAGGAGAGGACUUCUGCCGACUGAAACCUUUAUUUUUCUAGGUUGACCUCGGAUCAGGUAGGGAUACCCGCUGAACUUAAGCAUAUCAAUAAGCGGAGGAAAAGAAACCAACAGGGAUUGCCUCAGUAACG
rnacentral:rRNA from 1 species